UUCCGUAGGGGGGACCUGCGGAGGGAUCAUUGCUGGAACGCGCCCCAGGCGCACCCAGAAACCCUUUGUGAACUUAUACCUUACUGUUGCCUCGGCGCAUGCCGGCCCCCCUGGGGGCCCCUCCUUCUGGAGGAGCAGGCACGCCGGCGGCCAACCUAACUCUUGUUUUUACACUGAAACUCUGAGAAUAAAACAUAAAUGAAUCAAAACUUUCAACAACGGAUCUCUUGGUUCUGGCAUCGAUGAAGAACGCAGCGAAAUGCGAUAAGUAAUGUGAAUUGCAGAAUUCAGUGAAUCAUCGAAUCUUUGAACGCACAUUGCGCCCUCUGGUAUUCCGGAGGGCAUGCCUGUUCGAGCGUCAUUUCAACCCUCAAGCCUGGCUUGGUGAUGGGGCACUGCUUUUACCCAAAAGCAGGCCCUGAAAUUCAGUGGCGAGCUCGCCAGGACCCCGAGCGCAGUAGUUAAACCCUCGCUUUGGAAGGCCCUGGCGGUGCCCUGCCGUUAAACCCCCAACUUCUGAAAAUUUGACCUCGGAUCAGGUAGGAAUACCCGCUGAACUUAAGCAUAUCAAA
rnacentral:rRNA from 1 species